AGCCAUUCAGUAAAGAAUAGAACUCAUCAACACACAAUGGAAACAAAUAUGCUGUGUCCAGAAGUUAAUUUAAAACAUUGUACUGACGGGUCGCAUCACUGCUAUGAAAGAAGCAAUUGACAAUUGUUCACUUCAGACAGAAGGAGUCACCGCAUGCCAAAUAAAAAUAGGAUAACACAAAUUUUCUUGUUUGAACAAGAAGAAAAAUAUAAACUUGCAAACCAGGUUAUCACAUCAUCAACCUAAGGGAUGCUUUACUCCAAACAGAAAAUGACGGGAAGUGCUGCACGCGUGUUUACCACAUGAAAUGGGGUUCCAAUGCUAAAUAAUCAUGCAUGUGACAUUUGACAGUGGCAAUAUUGUUCCAUCAUGAAACUCCAACACAUGUCAGUCCAACCUUAGCCGGUCGCUGCGAGGAGGCAGGCGAGCAGACCCAGCGCUCCUCUUCACUUUCCCCAGACAUCGGCCUUCGGCGACAACGCAUGUGCGCAUCUGCAGCUCAUCGCUUGUCCCGCCGCUGCAACGACGCCGAGGACCUCCGCAUGGAUCGAACCAAUAAUGCUAAACACCAUCAACUUAGAACUUAAGUCGGACCUGCUAAGCCUCCUGCAAACAAAUAAAAGAGAGUUAAUAAGGAUGUUGUGGUUGAUUUGAUCUAGCUGAAAUAGCUAAACAAAAAAUGACACACACCAAACCAAGCAAUUGUUCUUCUAUGCACAAUGUGGGAUUUAAUAUAAACGGACCAAAUUUAUUUGAGCACACAAAUCAAAACCCUGAUAUAUUUCAUGCAAAUUACACAUAUUCAGUCUACAGAUCACUAAUAUAUAUGUCAUUCAAAAUUUCAUUAUUCAAAUUUGCUAGCCUGCUAAUUACAUUGAGGCAAACUUUUAGAACAAGCUAAUCUCGAUUAAUUUAACCUCACCAUCCGAAGAAUCAAUCUGGCAGAUAAAACAAUGAUAGAGAUUUAUUUUCAAUAUGCUUCCAUCAGCUUGGUCCUAAAAUAUUCUACUUUUUCAUGAUAAGCAGGUUAUCAUGCGCAAACAAGAUAACUGAUAUUCCAACAAAUGACAGCUAGCUUUGAACUGCACAAGAUCCCUGUAGUUUUAGUUUUGGUUUUAGUUGCAGGGCUGUCAGACUCGUACUAAUUUCAAGUUCAGAUAUAGUAAUAUUCGUACUCAUUCGAGAACAUCUAAACUGCACAAGAUCCAUAUAGUUUUAGAUCAUAUAAAAACAGAAGACAACAGGAUUAUCCCUGAAAAUGGAAUACAGAAGGAUCAUUUUCAACAUGAUACAGGUACUAUGCUUCUUAUCAAAUUAGCCUCGGUAAGUUCAAAGUUCACGUGGUAGAGAAAAAGUUAAUUUAUCCUUUUAAGCUAACAUUUAUCAUUCAUUAGAACAAAAGAUCCACAUCUAUUAUCUUCAUUUAUGUUUCGUAACGGAUUGCAAACUAAGAGUCAUUAUAAAGAAUCUGUAGGUAUCAAGGUGGAGGCAUUGGGGUUCCAGGAAGCACCACCUACCAGUAGACCUUUGGUAUCUCCACAGAGUUAAGCAUCACCAUCGUGGCCGCAUCGGCAAAAUUCAAGUGAGAUUCGCUCUCCUCCAGUGACCUGUGUGCAUCAGAACGAGCAUAAUGGGUAAGCAAUUCAUGGCAAAUACACACGCACGCCCAAGCUAAUUAAUUAAUUAACUAACUAACUACACAUGUAAGCAGUUUGUGCGCAUAUCCGCUACAUGGAAAGAAACUAUCCGAUUAGAACAUGAUUUUUGCACUCACCAUAAGAAGCGAGAUCAGUAGCAGAAGUAGAUCCAUAGUGUCUGUUGCUGUAUGAUGUAGUGGUGAAGGGUCCUAUUUAUAGUCCAGAUGGGUGCAUGACAGAUAUACACUAAAGUGUCAACCAUAAACUACUACCCCCUCCGUCCCAUAAUGUAAGACGUUUUUUGACACUAGUGUAGAGUCGAAAAGCGUCUUACGUUAUGAGACGGAGGGAGUAUUUGCAAAAGCAAGAACAUAAACAAUAGGUUGGUGUAGCUAGAUAAAUCACUCUUUUCAAGUUCACCGCCAUAUUUUAUUAAAAAGUGCAUUGCCUAUGGAUAGUGCAUCUCAGGGAAUCACAGUGAGAAUGAAAGGCUUGGAGAAAUGCAAAAUGAUAAAAUUGAGAAGUUGGCAUACAGAGAACUAACAGGAAAACAUGCACCAUCAAUCAUUCACCAUAAGGGCACAGCAGGGCAGUAGCUGAUCUGUAGUAGAUGGUUACCAAAUAAUGCACAGAAAGACAAUCUCUGCAGAAAUGAUCAAAUGAAAAAACCAGAAAUCUCAGAGUCUGAAGACCGCGCAUCCUCCUCAAAUCACGUAAUGAAAAUUCACUUGCAAGAGCAACUAUUCAUAUUCCAGUUAAUAGUUGGAUAAUUUUAAGAAACAAGAGCUUGGGUAUAUUAUACAUAACACUACUGUAACUUGCGAGUAAGAACAGGAUGACACCAGUUGCAAUCAAGGACCACUGAAUUAACAAUAAAAAAUGAGUAAAGAAAUUACAUACUGAGAAAACCCCAACAAUUAGGCAAUCCAUUCCAAGACACGAUAAAUUCACAAGCCCAAUUAGCACUAUACCUCACAGACGGAACAACAGUGGUCGCAGCACUUCCAUAUGCUGGCACAGAGCGUCCAACUUUCAGUCCGCACCUGCAUCCACCCGAACAGAACCAGGUCAAACAAACGGAGAAGGAGAAAAGAGAAAACUUCAAACUGGCUGCAAGGGGCUCAUACCGAGACGAGUUGAGUAUGGACGGGUUGAGUGCGAGCUCGUGCACCAGCUGCGGUCGUCGUCGCCCACCCGCUGAGGCCACUUUCCGCUGGACCGCCGUACGAGCCGCCUAUGGCGCUAGACCAUCGCCGAGACGCGAAAGAGGGUGUCGAGCACGGCCGUCGUUGUGUCACCUCGGUAUGCCGCCACAUCGAGUGCCUGGUGAGACAAGACCCCGCGAGGUGUGCGCAGCUUGGAGCUCCGGGCAGCCGCUUCCCCACCGCCAACCUUGCUGCUCGUUAGCACGCCUUGUCAGCCUCCUGACCCUCCCCUGCUCGCCAGCCGCCGAUGUGAAGAACCCGCCGCCCCCUGAUAUCCCGCGACGGCGAUCUGCGCUGAUCUAGAACCAUCGCACGCGGCGGCGCAAAUCUAGAACAUGCCGAAGCAGAUGGCGGAGCUAGCGUGCGAGGCCUCGAUCCGCUCCUUCCAUCCACUGGCCUCGCUCGCGUUGCUCCUCGGGAAACAUCGUUGUGAGGUGGGGCGCCUGGGAGGCCGGCGGCCGGAGACAAGGCGGUGGAGGAGAAGAAGCAGCGAGAAGGCGGAUUGGCUGACGAGGAGAAAGGAGGAGGAGGAGGAAAGGAGGGGGUGCGGGGCUCGUGAACACUGGCUGCGCUGCAGCGAGCGCCCACACCCAGGCCCCAGCAACAGCACGCGGCAUGGCGCACCACCCUAGACGAAACUCAACGGCACGAACAGAAACAAUCCAAAGCGCAAGGGCGGGUGUGUAUGCAGCAG
rnacentral:lncRNA from 1 species